CCCUUAGAUGUUCUGGGCCGCACGCGCGCUACACUGACGAAUGCAACGAGCUUAUAACCUUGGCCGAAAGGUCUGGGUAAUCUCCAAAUUUCGUCGUGAUGGGGAUAGAUUAUUGCAAUUAUUAAUCUUCAACGAGGAAUGCCUAGUAAGCGCAAGUCAUCAGCUUGCGUUGAUUACGUCCCUGCCCUUUGUACACACCGCCCGUCGCUCCUACCGAUUGAAUGGUCCGGUGAAGCGCUCGGACCGCGGCCUCUUGACGGUUUUCCGUCGAUUGGCUGUGGGAAGUUCGUUAAACCUUAUCAUUUAGAGGAAGUAAAAGUCGUAACA
rnacentral:rRNA from 1 species